CCUACGGGGGGCAGCAGUGGGGGAUAUUGCACAAUGGGGGGAACCCUGAUGCAGCGACGCCGCGUGAGCGAAGAAGUACCUCGGUAUGUAAAGCUCUAUCAGCAGGGAAGAAAAUGACGGUACCUGACUAAGAAGCCCCGGCUAAAUACGGGCCAGCAGCCCCGGUAAUACGGAGGGGGCAAGCGUUAUCCGGAUUUACUGGGGGUAAAGGGAGCGCAGGGGGGUUGCAAAGUGUGGUGUGAAAACCCGGGGCCCAACCCCGGGCCUGCAUUUGAAACUGGCGGGCUUGAGUGUCGGAGGGGCAGGCGGAAUUCCGAGUGUAGCGGUGAAAUGCGUAGAUAUUAGGAGGAACACCGGUGGCGAAGGCGGCCUGCUGGACGCUAACUGACGCUGAGGCACGAAAGCGUGGGGAGCAAACAGGAUUAGAUACCCUGGUAGUC
rnacentral:rRNA from 1 species